CAACACACAGGAGGUUUUUCUUUAAGCUAGGUGAGUAAAGAACAUGUUGAAUUUGUUGUAUUUCAGUGUUGAGAAGCUUAUCAGCAACAUUCCCAAUACCAAAUACAAUAUGUCCUUGUCCUCUUAUGGAGGUAACCCUGGUUCCUGUGCAUGGUUUAAUAUGGUUUAAUCAAAGAAACUAACGUUUUGUCCCCAGAUAUGUGGUGCAAGACACCAGAAUUUAGGUAAUAAAGUCUAGAGUUUGUGUCUAAAACAUUUACCUAUAGCAGGCAAGCUUCGGGAGAUGCUUCCUCUUUGGGUUUUGAAUCGUUCUCGUACUCGAACUGAUCGUCUUCAUUUUCGUUGAUUUUGAUGUUAUGUAUAUGGCCGCCUCUCCAUUCUUUUGGUGUUCUUCUGUCUGGAGGCGAGACUCCAUAUCCUUGAUACGUUCAAGAAGGUCGCAAAGGUCCCCUUUAAAAAUUUCUCGGUGUUUUGCGGUGGCUGGAAUGAGCGGCUUGUUUGGAGCAAUUCGACUGCUGCUGUUGUAACGUUGAUAGCUACUUCGUGGGUGGUAAUGGUUUCUACGGUCCUAUGAGUAUUGGCCGCGAUCACUGUUGAGGGAUUGCCCUCCCAAGUGUGAGUUGCUUGGGUGUCGAUGGCCAUAGCUGCCGCGGCUGCUGUUGUCGGCUUUCAAGUUGUUCUAUCCAUUUUGAUAAUAUUGUGCUCUAUAUCCUUAAUGUGGCCCUCGGUUGUUGUGAGGCCUUCGGGUGUGACUUCGGAAGGAAAGAAGCGCCUUGCCGAUCUGUUCUGGCUAAGUGGUAGAGUCCGUCUCUCUCGAAGACAUUUUGCAUUUUGAAGCCUCUGAUGCCAUAGUUUUCUAGGCAUGUAAGGUGGUACGUUCCUGGUAUCAAAGUCAGACUAGUUGCAUGACUGACCGAGACGCUACAAACGGUGGGAACUAGCACAGCAGGUGUGGUUGGAUGACUCAUCAUCCUUGGUGUGGGGUCUAUUGUCUCUCUACUUAUAAUCUUUAAAUCUGAGGAGGACAGGCCACAAUUAUUGUUAGUAGCUAAUAUGUUCUAAGCUGUAUACUUCGGGACCACUCUUUGAUACCAUUUGGGAUGCUAGGAUAAGACACAAUGUGGAACGUACUAUUCAAUUAAAAGAUGAUUCGGGAGGGGUAUUAUAUACCCUCACAGUACGGGCUCAGAAACAGGUUCACAAGUUGUUGCUCCGAGCUGUCAUGAUGAACAGAAGAGAUGAAUGUAGACGAGAGUAGCAUCCAACAUAAUGAAGCUGCAGCAAUAGGGGGUGGACGUUGCAGCAUUAAGCAUGAGACAAGACCCUCUAAGAAGCCAGCUGCAAGCAACGUAACCUGUGGGUCAUACCUUCUGCAGUGUUUUUGUGAAUCCAAGUACCAAAUUCUCGACGUUUGAGAGACACACACACACCUUGAAGCUGCAAAAAAAGUUCCAAUGUUAACAGAGGAGGAAAUGUCUGAUGGUUGGCAGGAAGCUCCAACUUUUUCACGGCCUCCCAUAGAGGCAAGCAGCGUGGUGGACAGCAGUCUUGACUUUAUUGAUAGAUAACUGCUAGAAAUAUAUCGCGCUAUAGCAGUAAUUGCUUUACAAUGGCUGUAGCGUUGCCCAUGACAUGAAGCUGCUCCCCCGCAUCUUUUACAGAUGUAUGUCUCGUGUAGGUGACUUGGGUAAUCUAACUCCACUUAUCAAAGUCAAUUGA